UACGUAGGGCGCAAGCGUUGUCCGGAAUUAUUGGGCGUAAAGAGCUCGUAGGCGGUUUGUCGCGUCUGCUGUGAAAACUCGAGGCUCAACCUCGGGCUUGCAGUGGGUACGGGCAGACUAGAGUGCGGUAGGGGUGACUGGAAUUCCUGGUGUAGCGGUGGAAUGCGCAGAUAUCAGGAGGAACACCGAUGGCGAAGGCAGGUCUCUGGGCCAUAACUGACGCUGAGAAGCGAAAGCAUGGGGAGCGAACAGG
rnacentral:rRNA from 1 species